rnacentral:rRNA from 1 species
AUGGCGUACCAACACGAGUUUCCUGCCAUGCCGAUGAGCAACAAUGUUCCUAUGAUGGUCCAGCAGCCAUACACGCCGUACUUCGGCCAAGAGUUAUUUCCUGUUGUUUUGAGGCAACACAAGAUGGGCAUCGACCAUGUACUUCAGAACCAGCAUUACAUGUCGCACCAUCAACCCUACUUCCCACAACACUCCAUGUCGCACCAUGGGUACACACAAAGGAUGCUUGCACUAGGUUUUCCAAUCCCCCAUGAGUUGGACAGUGAUGCUGUUCCCGAUUCAUCUUCUUUAAGAAAAAAUACAUUGGGUGAAUUUUUUACUACGCUUAAGACCCUUGAAAAUGGAAUCCAGAAGGACGUCAAUCAAGCAACGAUGGUGAAUAAAACAACCAACUUUAAGAAGAAGGACAAGUCAAAGAAAAAAGGCAAGUCCAAGGUGCCCAAUAAGGCUGGUACACCUGGAAAGUCUAAGAAGAUUGGCGCCACUGCUGAUGCCGAGUGCUUCUUUUGUAAGGAGAAAGGUCACUGGAAGAGGAACUGCAAGAAGUAUUUGGUAGAAAAGAAGAAUUCUGCAAAUUCCAGCCACAGUAUGAGUGUCAUACAUGGGCUUGAUGUAUUUCUUGCUAAUUCAUAG